rnacentral:lncRNA from 1 species
AUACCAUCUUAGGGCUGCGGUAAACUUCAGAUUGCACCAGUCGAUCAUCUAGAACGUGUUAAACAGUGCAUGGGGCAAUGAAGAAUCUCAACUUGUUCGGUUGGAGUGCAGAACAGACCAGGAUAACAGCUCUGUAGACCGACUCAGAAUAGGAUGGAUUUUGUGACAUCAUUGCAACUCUGUGUCCUGUCUUGUAUAAUUGCCCCUGUUCAGUUUGCUGUUGCAAAAUCGACUUAGUGUUCGUGAUUAUAAUGUUUUAAAAC